AUCGCUUCUCGGCCUUUUGGCUAAGAUCAAGUGUAGUAUCUGUGCUUAUCAGUUUAAUAAUUCAUCCCGUAGAAUCAUCACGAGCUCUGAUCUUGUUUAAGAGAUUGAUGAGAUGAUCAGCCCCUUGAUCUGACAUUCACGCUUUCGGCAUCCAUCAAGCCAAAAGCUUGAGGUCAAG
rnacentral:snRNA from 1 species